AGCAAAUGAUCAUUAGCCAAACUUGGGUUGUAUUGGGAUGGAUACAAUCGAUCGUUGGCCUCCCAAUGUUUUCUCUUGUUCUCAAUCAUGCCACUACCUACGAUUGUUGGAAGAAGUUUGAAAUUAAUUCACCUAUCACCACGAAAGACAAUACACGUACACACAAGGGAUUCAUGACGAGCUUCGACGACUAAUUCAUUUGAUGAAUCUACCAGGGAUUAUGUUAUCAAAGUCAGAGCACUUACGGACUCACUAGCUGCUAGCUGCAGGUGACACAAUAUUGUGAUAUUGUGGAUUUUGUUAGCUAUGGUUUGGGUCCAGAGUACAUGCCAUUUAUUUGUUUUUUACAUUCUCAUGCAGCUAGCAGUCAAAUAUUAGAUUAUAAAAUAUUAGUUUGUUAUUUGUUGUAACCAACUCCACUCACAUUAUAAGGGGUGGGUGGGUGGUACAACUUUCAAGUGUAUAUAUUUACAAUAAUAAAGAGCAAAUGAUCCAUCGAUCAUUAGUCAAACCUCUCUACUCUUUCCUUCAUUCUUCCUUCUCCAUUCAUCAACAAUGUUGUCCUCCUCCUUCAAUGACUCUAAGUCCAACAACUGAUUAUGGAAGAUGCCUAUCUACGUCAAAUGAAUUAUCAAUCAACAACGACUACUACUGAAAAUCUAUCUGUCUUUGCUGUUAACUAUAAAAAUCGUGAUAAUCGAUUUCACAAAAAUAAUCGGGGCAAUGGAGGAGGUCGUUUUCAAAAAUAUAGAAAUAGGGAAAAUAGAUGGCGCCGAACUCCUGGAAAUUACGAUAACUUUGUGAAAAAUCUCGAUAACUCGAUAGUAUGCCAACUUUGUGAAAAAUCAGGUCACAAUGCACGUACUUGUAGAAAGGGUUUAAAAACGUUCGCGACAUCCAUGGAAGUUAUUGAUGAAGUAACUAAAGGGAACUGACUUCUUUAUUCCGGCACUACAAAUCAUAUGACACCGGAUCUGUAUUCACUCUCGGAUGUUCACGAUUAUUCUGGUAUGAAAAAUAUAAUUAUUGGUAAUGGUUUAGGAUUAAAGAUUUCACAUAUAAGUAUUGCUAGACUAAAAUCUAAUAAUGGAGA
rnacentral:lncRNA from 1 species